rnacentral:rRNA from 1 species
UUAAGUGACUAAGCGUACACGGUGGAUGCCUUGGCAGUCAGAGGCGAUGAAAGACGUAGUAACUUGCGAUAAGCCCAGAUUAGGUAGUAACAACCAUUUGAGUCUGGGAUUUCUGAAUGGGGAAACCCACGUGCAUAAGCACGUAUCCUUACCUGAAUACAUAGGGUAAGGAGGCGAACCGGGGGAACUGAAACAUCUAAGUACCCCGAGGAAAAGAAAUCAACCGAGAUUCCGAAAGUAGCGGCGAGCGAAAUUGGACUAGCCCUUAAGCUUUACACGCGUUAGACGAACGGUCUGGAAAGUCCGACGAUACAGGGUGAUAGUCCCGUAGUUGACGACGUGUGUUCAGUGAAAUCGAGUAGGGCGGGACACGUGAUAUCCUGUCUGAAUAUGGGGGGACCAUCCUCCAAGGCUAAAUACUACUGACUGACCGAUAGUGAACCAGUACCGUGAGGGAAAGGCGAAAAGAACCCCUGUGAGGGGAGUGAAAUAGAACCUGAAACCGUGUACGUACAAGCAGUAGGAGCACCUUCGUGGUGUGACUGCGUACCUUUUGUAUAAUGGGUCAGCGACUUAUAUUCAGUGGCAAGGUUAACCAUCUAGGGGAGCCGUAGGGAAACCGAGUCUUAACUGGGCGUUCAGUCUCUGGAUAUAGACCCGAAACCAGGUGAUCUAGCCAUGGGCAGGUUGAAGGUUGAGUAACAUCAACUGGAGGACCGAACCGACUAAUGUUGAAAAAUUAGCGGAUGACUUGUGGCUAGGGGUGAAAGGCCAAUCAAACCUGGAGAUAGCUGGUUCUCCCCGAAAGCUAUUUAGGUAGCGCCUCGGACGAAUACUACUGGGGGUAGAGCACUGUUAAGGCUAGGGGGUCAUCCCGACUUACCAACCCUUUGCAAACUCCGAAUACCAGUAAGUACUAUCCGGGAGACACACGGCGGGUGCUAACGUCCGUCGUGGAGAGGGAAACAACCCAGACCGCCAGCUAAGGUCCCAAAUUACUACUAAGUGGGAAACGAUGUGGGAAGGCUCAGACAGCCAGGAUGUUGGCUUAGAAGCAGCCAUCAUUUAAAGAAAGCGUAAUAGCUCACUGGUCGAGUCGGCCUGCGCGGAAGAUGUAACGGGGCUAAGUAGUAAACCGAAGCUGCGGCAAUGUGCUUUUGCACAUUGGGUAGGGGAGCGUUCUGUAAGCGGUUGAAGGUGUGUGGUAACGCAUGCUGGACGUAUCAGAAGUGCGAAUGCUGACAUGAGUAACGAUAAAGGGGGUGAAAAACCUCCUCGCCGGAAGACCAAGGGUUCCUGUCCAACGUUAAUCGGGGCAGGGUAAGUCGACCCCUAAGGCGAGGCCGAAAGGCGUAGUCGAUGGGAAACGGGUUAAUAUUCCCGUACUUCUUACAAUUGCGAUGGGGGGACGGAGAAGGCUAGGUGGGCCUGGCGACGGUUGUCCAGGUUCAAGUGCGUAGGCUUAAGAGUUAGGUAAAUCCGGCUCUUUUUAAGGCUGAGACACGACGUCGAGCACCUACGGGUGUGAAGUCAUUGAUGCCAUGCUUCCAGGAAAAGCCUCUAAGCUUCAGAUUGUAAGGAAUCGUACCCCAAACCGACACAGGUGGUCGGGUAGAGAAUACCAAGGCGCUUGAGAGAACUCGGGUGAAGGAACUAGGCAAAAUGGUACCGUAACUUCGGGAGAAGGUACGCUCUCGACGGUGAAGUCCCUCGCGGAUGGAGCUAUUGAGAGUCGCAGAUACCAGGUGGCUGCAACUGUUUAUUAAAAACACAGCACUGUGCAAAAUCGUAAGAUGACGUAUACGGUGUGACGCCUGCCCGGUGCCGGAAGGUUAAUUGAUGGGGUUAGACUUCGGUCGAAGCUCUUGAUCGAAGCCCCGGUAAACGGCGGCCGUAACUAUAACGGUCCUAAGGUAGCGAAAUUCCUUGUCGGGUAAGUUCCGACCUGCACGAAUGGCGUAAUGAUGGCCACGCUGUCUCCACCCGAGACUCAGUGAAAUUGAAAUCGCUGUGAAGAUGCAGUGUACCCGCGGCUAGACGGAAAGACCCCGUGAACCUUUACUACAGCUUGGCACUGAACAUUGACCCUACAUGUGUAGGAUAGGUGGGAGGCUUUGAAGCACGUACGCCAGUAUGUGUGGAGCCGUCCUUGAAAUACCACCCUUGUAGUGUUGAUGUUCUAACGUUGACCCCUUAUCGGGGUUGCGGACAGUGCCUGGUGGGUAGUUUGACUGGGGCGGUCUCCUCCCAAAGAGUAACGGAGGAGCACGAAGGUGGGCUAAUCACGGUUGGACAUCGUGAGGUUAGUGCAAUGGCAUAAGCCCGCUUGACUGCGAGAAUGACAAUUCGAGCAGGUGCGAAAGCAGGUCAUAGUGAUCCGGUGGUUCUGAAUGGAAGGGCCAUCGCUCAACGGAUAAAAGGUACUCCGGGGAUAACAGGCUGAUACCGCCCAAGAGUUCAUAUCGACGGCGGUGUUUGGCACCUCGAUGUCGGCUCAUCACAUCCUGGGGCUGAAGUCGGUCCCAAGGGUAUGGCUGUUCGCCAUUUAAAGUGGUACGCGAGCUGGGUUUAGAACGUCGUGAGACAGUUCGGUCCCUAUCUGCCGUGGGCGUUGGAAGAUUGAAGGGGGCUGCUCCUAGUACGAGAGGACCGGAGUGGACGAACCUCUGGUGUUCGGGUUGUGUCGCCAGACGCAUUGCCCGGUAGCUAAGUUCGGAAUCGAUAACCGCUGAAAGCAUCUAAGCGGGAAGCGAGCCCUGAGAUGAGUCUUCCCUGAUACUUUAAGUAUCCUAAAGGGUUGUCGGAGACUACGACGUUGAUAGGUCAGGUGUGUAAGUGCUGUGAGGCAUUGAGCUAACUGAUACUAAUUGCCCGUGAGGCUUAACCAU